UACGAAGGGGGCUAGCGUUGUUCGGAAUUACUGGGCGUAAAGCGCACGUAGGCGGAUCGAUCAGUCAGGGGUGAAAUCCCAGGGCUCAACCCUGGAACUGCCUUUGAUACUGUCGAUCUGGAGUAUGGAAGAGGUGAGUGGAAUUCCGAGUGUAGAGGUGAAAUUCGUAGAUAUUAGGAAGAACACCAGUGGCGAAGGCGGCUCACUGGUCCGGUACUGACGCUGAGGUGCGAAAGCGUGGGGAGCAAACAGG
rnacentral:rRNA from 1 species